AUGGUAGAGCUGAAAGCACAGUCCGAGGAUGCUUGGAAAUGGCUUAAAAAUAUAGAGGUCUCUGCUUGGGCAAGGUAUGCUAUGGAUCAUACUUGCAAAAUAGAUCUAGUUGUGAACAACCUUAGUGAAGUCUUCAACAAGAUGAUACUUGAUGCUAGAUCCAAACCAAUAAUGACAAUGUUUGAAGGGAUUAGAACCAAGCAGAUGAUAAAGAGGCAGCAGACUAGGGAGAAGUUGCAGACAUGCAGAUGGACAAUCACACCAAAUUACUCAGAGAUUUUAGAAGAGAGCAAAAAGUAUGCCAAGCACUGCCAGGCUGACAGAGCUGGUGAGACAAUUUGA
rnacentral:rRNA from 1 species